rnacentral:lncRNA from 10 species
AGAAGAUACAGUUAAAACAGCAAGAGAAGCUCCGCUGUGCCAUCCAAGGGCCGCCUGGAUGAAUUCGACUUUGUAAGGACAGCGUCUUUUCCUGUGGCCCGUGACAGGGAGCUGUUGGCGAGGCAGCUUGAUUUUACAAAAUCAUGGUCCCAGUAAGAUUUUCAGAGAUGUCAACAAUGGACAGUGCAAUGCUUCUCAAACAGAACGUUCGGAAAAACUUGCAAAUGGUCAAAUUUUCACAAGACCCAAACUGCCUAUUCUAGGACGAAUGCCGGCUCAUUGUUCACUGUGAAAAUGGCGUUCAACACCAGAGACUUUCUCGUGCCAAGCAGGCUCUCAGAUGGACAGCCCCAUGCCAGGGGGAUGUGUUGAUCCGAGGUCACACGGGCCAAGGAGCCUCUGGGGACAGGCCCAGCCUGCUGGGGAUGCCUGCCACCCCAGGAGCACCCAUUGACCUCAACCCGCCCACGAGCUUACAGAAGGCAGAAGCAGGAGGGAGUGCCAGUGACGUGUCUGGCCACUGCCUUACUUUUGCAGCCGUGUAUCAAAUGACCGAAGGCAUAGAAGCCGAAGCGGCACCCAGCUGCAGGAGUGAGCGCUUCAGGUGUUGGCUGGUUGUCAGCUGGGGCUCCCAAGCUCGCUCGGAGAGGUGCCUGCAGUCCACCUCCAGAGGCAGAGAGUCGCCGCGGCCAUUCUAGGGCAGCCCCAAAAUGGCUGCUUGCUUCACCAGUGCCAGCAGGGGAGCUGGAGCCUUACGCAGUGCCAGGGAGUGACAUCCUGGCCCCUUGCCACAUCCUACAGGAGGCUGAAGGGAGCCCUCCGGCCUGCUCCGCGAGGAUGCAGAGGACGCAGUAUUCCUCCGCUCGAGGUCACGGUAACAAGGCACCCUUGGAAGCAGAGAGCAGCCCUCACCAGACACAGAACCCAGCGCCUCCAUCUCGGACAUCCUUGCCUCCGGAAUUGUGAGCAACCCAUUUCUGUUGUCUGUUCAUUUCCCAGUCUCAGCAACUGAGGGACUCAGAUGUCGCCCUUCUGACAAAGCCCUGGGUACAUGUGCUGCUUAAUGAGAAUGUCCAAUUAUUUUCCUCACAGACACCCCACUGUCCUUGAGGAAGCAAGGGGCAUAGAUCCUGCUGUGUCCACGGGACACCGAGGUGCGGGGAUGUCUGGCGACCUGGGGACACUCGCUGUAAGUGACAGGGUGUGACCCUGUGGCCCUGGGCCAGGUGCCAGUGCCCAGGCUAGAUGGAGACUCGGCCAUAGGCUUCCAGAAGCUAACAGCCACAUUUCCCACGCCCAUGAUGCGCGCCCACCGGGGCUGGGGUGCCCCAGUGUCCCUUGUUCUAAGCUUGCACGUUUCCUCAGCCCGAGGCCUUGACCAUGUGGUUGUGGGUGGAACUGGGACUCACACUGUGGGGAAGGGGCACUGGGAGCUGGGUCGCUGCAGGUGUAAGAAGGCGCAGGAUGGGAACCGCUGAUCUGCAGGGCUGUGAGGCUCAUGCUCACUUGAUUCCUUAGAACUGAGAAUUGCCACUUUGCGCGCCUCCCAUCACAGGAGAGUCCAGGGCCUCCUGUGAGGCCCACACAGGUGCUCAAUCAAUGCUCAUGGCACUGCCCUGUGAGCUGCCCUGAGUCACAGGAUGCCUCCAGCUCUGGUUUGGAGCCUGGUCCCUGGCUCUGAGUCCCCACUCAGGCCCCCUCACGCCCAGCUGGGGCUCUGGAUUCUGCUGUGCCUCUGUCCUCCCGAGUCCUGAGGGGCUGAGAGUUCUGCACAACCCCCACCCUGCUACUCCAGCUCCCCCGUCUCCCCUCCUCACCUGCUCUGGGCUCCCUUCCACCCCAGCUCUGGCUGCCCCUGCACCUGAUGUGCUCCCCACAUCUAGUAUGCUCCCCCCACCUGAAGUGUUCCUCACCUGGAGUGCUCCCCCCACCUGAAGUGUUCCUCACCUGGGGUGCUCCCCCCACCUGAAGUGUUCCUCAUCUGGAGUGCUCCCCGCACCUGAGGUGUUCCUCACCUGGAGUGCUCCCCCCACCUGAAGUGUUCCUCACCUGGAGUGCUCCCCCCACCUGAAGUGUUCCUCACCUGGAGUGCUCCCCCCACCUGAAGUGUUCAUCUGGAGUGCUCCCCCCACCUGAAGUGUUCAUCUGGAGUGCUCCCCCCACCUGAAGUGUUCCGCAUCUGGAGUGCUCCCCCACCUGGAGUGCUCCCCACCUCCACCUGGAGUUUUUGCCCCACCUGGAGUGCUCCCUCUACCCAGAGUGCUCCCUCUACCUGCAGUGCCCCCCACCACCAGGAGUGCUCCAUUGCCUGCUGUUCUUCCUCCAGGUGAGUGAGCAACUAACCGCUUACCUUCUUAGGUCUUGCCCAGCCUGCACUUUCUAGGGAUCCUUCCAUGAUCAUCCCAUUUUGAUUCCUCUCUUCUCGUGGUGUCUCAUUUCCACGGCGUCUGUCAUUGUCAGUUGUACCCACGCUGUUGACUGACCAUCUCCACUGACACGGGUGCUGAGGAAGGCCUGUGUCUUCCGCAUCCUGGUGUCUGGGCCCCACCGGCGGGAACCCCAGUCCUAAGGUGCCAGCAUGUGUGCCCACGUGCCACACUGGGCUCACUCCUGUGAGCCUCCUCCCAG